AUUGAACGCUGGCGGCAUGCUUUACACAUGCAAGUCGAACGGUAACAGGCCGCAAGGUGCUGACGAGUGGCGAACGGGUGAGUAAUGCAUCGGAACGUGCCCAGUCGUGGGGGAUAACUACUCGAAAGAGUAGCUAAUACCGCAUACGAUCUAUGGAUGAAAGCGGGGGACCGUAAGGCCUCGCGCGAUUGGAGCGGCCGAUGUCAGAUUAGGUAGUUGGUGGGGUAAAGGCUCACCAAGCCAACGAUCUGUAGCUGGUCUGAGAGGACGACCAGCCACACUGUGACUGAGACACGGCCCAGACUCCCACGGGAGGCAGCAGUGGGGAAUUUUGGACAAUGGGCGCAAGCCUGAUCCAGCAAUGCCGCGUGCAGGAAGAAGGCCUUCGGGUUGUAAACUGCUUUUGUACGGAACGAAACGGCUCUGGUUAAUACCCGGGGCUAAUGACGGUACCGUAAGAAUAAGCACCGGCUAACUACGUG
rnacentral:rRNA from 1 species